AAGUUCAAGACCAGCCUGGGCCUCUCAGUUUCUACAGAGCACUGUACAGGAAGAACUGGCUUACUUUCAGUUGCAAGCAUGAAGACAACAGCAAGAUCAGGUAUGCAAGGCAGUGGAGCCAACUGACUGGCUGACCACCGACUGAAACCUCAGAAACCUCGGAAACCUCAAGCCAAAAUAAAUCUUUCCACCUCCAAAGUGUUUUUCUCAGAACUGUGUCCUCAUUAUUGGAUUAAUACUGGGGACAAGGACCAAGCUUUCAGUAACAAAAUAACUUCUUAAGUUGGGGGGUCAUCUCCAGAUUAGACGAUCUUCAGGACUCACUACCCAGUUGCAUGUCUACAUUAUCUGGACACUGUACUCCCAUGUCAAGCCCUCUGCCUUCCCCACAUUCUGCCACAAAUGUUCCUGGCAGACACUGGUUAUGACAGUGAGGAAUAGCAAUACUUUGCUCCAAAGUUUCUGUCUGUUGAGGAGCAGUGCAAUGGAUCCAGGCUGGUGGCUGCUGCCUGGAAAAGGGUUUUGAGAGUCAGUCAAAAAGUGUUUUGUGAACCUCAACUGUGCAGAAAACCACAAGCCAAGUCAAGGCUGCCUACUGGCAUUCUCACUGACACUUGACCUUCCUCAAAUGGUUUUGUACCCAGUAAUGACCAGGAGCACAGACUUUGGAUUCAGAAGAGAGAGCAGGAGUUCAGUCUCAGUUCUACCACCUCCAAUUAUGUGAUUCUGAGCAAAUUAUUUAACCUACUAUUUCUCAGUUUCCUUUUUUUUUUUUUUAAAUGAGGAUAAUAAUAUCUACCUUGAAGGAUUAUUAUAGGAUGUAGAUGAGGUGGGCAUAAAGUGAUUUGUACUUAAUAAAUGGUUACUUUGCUUU